rnacentral:rRNA from 1 species
UACAGAGGAGCCAAGCGUUGUCCGGAUUGACUGGGCGUAAAGCGCACGCAGGCGGAUGCGCGCGUGGGGUGUGAAAUCUGGCCGCUUAACGGCCAGGCGCCAUCCCAUACGGCGCAUCUGGAGGGCUGCAGAGGUCGAUGGAAUUGCCGGUGUAGUGGUGAAAUGCGUAGAGAUCGGCAGGAACACCCAGGGGGGAAACCAGUCGGACUGGGCAGCACCUGACGCUGAGGUGCGAGAGCGUGGGGAGCGAACCGG